UCGCGCCGCUGGACGGCCGCGUCCGCCCCCUCCGCCGUUUCAUCCGAAGCGGCGGUCGUGGCGGCCGAGGAAAGUCCGGGCUCCACAGGGCAGGGUGGCUGGUAACUCCAGCCGUCUCCCGUUGCGGGGAGAUAGGGACAGUACAACAGAAAGGAUACCGCCACGGUCGCAAGACCGCGGUAAGGGUGAAAUGGUGGGGUAAGAGCCCACCGGGGACGCCGCGAGGCGGACCGCAUUGCAAACCCCACCCGGAGCAAGCCCGCAUCGCGGAGAGGCGCUGCCCGCGCCGUCGGAUCCGCAGGUAGGGUGCAUGAGUCGUGGCGGCAACGCCACGGCCGAGAGAAAUGGCCGUCCUCGACAGGACCCGGCUUAUAGGCGGCCUCCGCAU
rnacentral:RNase_P_RNA from 1 species